UGAACGCUAGCGACAGGCCUAACACAUGCAAGUCGAGGGGCGAGCACAAGGAGCAAUCUGAGGUGGCGACCGGCGCACGGGUGAGUAACACGUAUGCAACCUGCCUGUAAGCGGGGAAUAACCCGUUGAAAGACGGACUAAUACCGCAUAAUACUAAAUUACUGCAUGGUAAUUUAUUUAAACAUUUAUGGCUUACAGAUGGGCAUGCGCAUGAUUAGCUAGUUGGAGAGGUAACGGCUCCCCAAGGCAACGAUCAUUAGGGGUUCUGAGAGGAAGGUCCCCCACACUGGUACUGAGACACGGACCAGACUCCUACGGGAGGCAGCAGUGAGGAAUAUUGGUCAAUGGACGAGAGUCUGAACCAGCCAAGUCGCGUGCAGGAAGAAUGUCCUUAAUGGACUGUAAACUGCUUUUGCAGGGGGAAUAAAGUGCAUCACGUGUGAUGUUUUGUAUGUACUCUGCGAAUAAGGAUCGGCUAACUCCGUGCCAGCAGCAGC
rnacentral:rRNA from 1 species